AAACACUUCCUCUUUUGAAACACUUCCAUCGACCUUUAAUGUAACAUCUUUAUAAAUUGAAAGUACUGCCUCCACAUUUUGAUGAUGAGUGCGCAAACGCAACUUCACCUUCUCUUCAGUAUCAUCAAAACGUUGGGUGACCCUAGCAGCAAUUUCUUCACUCUCAGGAGGAGAAUACCUCAAGUGGUAUAUCCUUCCAGUAACAGGGUCUAACCUACGUCCAACCACCCUCUCAACAAGAAGCCCUUCAGGGACUUCUAGGAGAAUGAAAAGAUCAGGCUGGAA
rnacentral:misc_RNA from 1 species